rnacentral:tmRNA from 1 species
GGGGAUGUUCCGGUUUCGACAGACAGGAGUAAUCUUGUGCUGCAGGUAAGGGAGUCUGAACCUUUGAAUUCAGAGAAACAAAUAACUGCAAAACGUAGAGAAGACGAACAGUCUGAAAACGAACAGUUAGCACUCGCUGCUUAAGCAGUGCCGGUAAUCAAGUUGUGCUGUUCCUAACAAUUUGAAUUACUGUCAGAAACAGGGACUUGCCGGUUGUAUAGUCUGGUAUAUGACUGGGACUUUUUCCAGAAUACGGAGGAGACGCUUUUAAGGCUGCUACCUUCUCCCGACAACUACCUCGCCUUAAUAAACCUGUAGAGGCGCCUGGUUAGCCAGCCUGGACUGGAGUUCAACUCUCCACAUCUCCA